CAGACUUUCUAAAAGGAAGAGCAGAAGAUCUGCAGUGAAACCUGAUCAGCAGAAGAUCUGUAAUGAGUCUACGAUCUCAGACACAUAUGCAGGUCUGGAUCUCCAGUCUGCGACCUCUGACCUGUACAACACACUCACAAGCGUUCACCACAGACCUGCUGAAAACUCCUGCUCCACUCUUGAUCCUCAGAGCUCUUCUGAACAUCACAAUCCACCAAUCAACAGGAAGAGGCUGCAGUGAGAGGCGGAGCAUUCUUGAGCUGUGUGGGCGGAGCCACAGGUGAUUUACAGUGAUCAUUAGUGAUGUCAACAUGUAACAGUGGUGUUGAAACUGUCUAAAAAGCUUAAGAUAGGGAGAGGAAAAAACAAUGUUUAGUGGUGUUAUAGAAUCUGUUAUUUACUUUAUAUAUCAUUAUAUGGGUUUUUAUAUCACAAUAGAUCAUUUUACACUCAAUAGGCCCUAUCAUACACUUGGCACAAGUGUAAUUUGCUAGUGCCAGCUCGGCACAGGUACCAUUUUCCCAUUUGCACCACGUUGUUUAUAUAGCAAAUGAAUUUGUGUGCACCAUUCUGCGCUGGUCUAAAAAGGAGGUGUGUUGAGGCGCUUUGUUGGCACAUUGCUAUUUUGAGGCAACUGAAAGACCUUGCCAAGAGCUCCUCUAAAGUCAACAGCACAGGGUUUUUUGUUUAAAGAUUGCGUUACUUUUAUGUGACUAUGCAGAUCCAAAAUGAAUGUACACACUGCUUAUUACACACACAGGGAUGUACAGCAGUACACAAAUAUCCUUAAAUAUGAAAAAUUAAAGAUUUAAAAUGUAAAUGCCUUCUUUGUUUCGGUUAAUUCAAUGAAGUUAAAGCUUUUCUGCCUAAACAGCAGAUAUUCCAUGGGGAGACCACAACUCACUAAAGUGAAUGAGAGAUAAAUCUCUGAUUGGUUUAAUGCACGUAACUCUCUAAACACACCCACAACUCAUUAAGAGAAUAAGGAUGACCCUUUUAGACCAUGUGCCAGUCUAAAUCCUUAAAACAGCUAAAAUUGAUUCAGACACCUCCUUAGUGCUUUGAUCCACCUGCUUUAGACGUUUCACUUGGAGUGCUAAAAUGUAGCCCAAUGUCUAUAACCCUCACUCCACCAGCAGAUGUCUCCAUCUCCUGCUACUUAAAGAGAUGUGGUUUUAUCAUGUACUGUGUUUAAAGUCAGAUGAAUGUGUUCUGCUUCAUUAAUAAUGAUUGAUACUGUGAGUAAUAUCAAUAUUCUGAUUAGUCAGUUUUGUAAAGAGCUUCUCAUCCUGAUUUGUGUUUAAUCCGUUUUACCUUUUUCUACCUAUUUUUAAUUGUGUGUAAAUGUGCGUCUGUAAUUUAUUGUUAUAAUGCUUUGCCAAUGCUGUAAAGUCAUUUACAGUGCCGAUAAA